rfam:Lucilia cuprina strain LS Scaffold798, whole genome shotgun sequence.
UUUUCUUUAAUGAUGACAAAUUUCAUACCCAAAACUGAAUUUCGUUGAGGAAUCUUUUUUACAUGCAUCACCAACUGACUAAUUUCAUAAAA